rnacentral:misc_RNA from 1 species
UAUCGCCGUGUGCGGUGAAAGCCGCUUGCACGGUGAAGGCUCGUUAUAAAACUGCAGAGAGCAGGAUAAGACGAGAAU